rnacentral:rRNA from 1 species
UACGUAGGGGGCGAGCGUUGUCCGGAAUCAUUGGGCGUAAAGAGCGUGUAGGCGGCUUGGCAAGUCUGACGUGAAAGCCCGCGGCUCAACCGCGGAUUGUCGUUGGAAACUGCCUCGCUAGAGUCCGGAAGAGGAGAGCGGAAUUCCUGGUGUAGCGGUGGAAUGCGCAGAUAUCAGGAAGAACACCCGUGGCUAAGGCGGUUCUCUAGUACGGUACUGACGCUGAGACGCGAAAGCGUGGGGAGCGAACAGG